CAAAACUUAGCCGUUUUGAGAGAUAAGAAAACUUCACUUGUGUGAGAGAGAAAAUCCUCUUGAGAGAAAAAUAAAGCCACCGGUGUUUGGUGAGAUUAUUAAUGUAUUCCCAUUAUUUUUCUUAGUGGAAGAUAGAGUGUUAUUUUUUGCCCAUUUUAUUUACACAAGGCUGGGAGAAGACAGAUCCUGGGAAUACCAUAUUUAUUUAUUGGCUCUUUGAUUUUUCGCAAUCUUUCCCAAUACAGAAGAAGGUAGAAGGUCUGAAGAGAAGGUUAGAGACGAGGUUGCCAGUCAUUAAUAAGGAGGUAGCUAGGUUUAUGCAUGGGAACCUUCCUACAGGGCAUCUUUAUAUCCAGAGGAUGCUUCCUUUCUCUCUCUAUCUUGCCGAAAUUAGGAAGUCUGUUGACAAACAAAACAGACACAAUUACAAGGACAGAGGCUAAGAGAGAAAAAAAAUACAAAAAUGAAAAGGAUCACCGUAGAUAUUUCUAUUGUCUUUUAAGUUUUAACCAAAGCCACACACACACACACACACACAAAAGCAACUAGUUGCCAUAAAAUUCUAGACAAGUAAAGGACAUAAAGGGGGAACACUAAAUUGCCUUAUACAGUUUAGCAUUAACUUUAACAGGCUAGCAUUAUUGAGAAGGAGAUGAGCCAUUACAAAUUGGUAUGUGAGCAAUCUAUCCCAUUUCCUAUGUAAGAUUCAAUCAACCCAUGGCCAUGACGAGGUCUCCUUGAUUGGCGAUCUGGGGGAAAGACUGCCCCUUUGCUUGCCAGAUACGUGUGAAGUAUGUUUCAAGUUUUACAUCCAAUCCAAAUCUAAUUCAGGAAAGGAAAUGUGAUAAAUCAGUUUUCCUUUGAUACUAUUUGUUACAGAGGUGAUAACUAAUACAUAUCUCAAGUCCGAGAAACAUACUACAGAAUGGUAUCCUUGGCUACCCAUGAAGUUAAACCCAAUGAUAUCUGAAUUUAGUUCACUUGCGAUGAAUCUUAAAACAAGGGACAUGAUACUAGGGAUUAGGGGUGUCCGCCAUGA
rnacentral:lncRNA from 1 species